CCGACCUCCGACUGGCGCAUUUUGACGCACGAGUUUCUUUUCAAACAUAAAUAUGAUUGCGCCGCCUCGUUGAAAGCGACUUGGAUUUUGGGACGCCGUUUGACAGAAGAGGCAGCUUGUUCUGAACUUCACUGCUCUCGCAGGGAACCACUCAAAAUGGAGGAGAAGAAAAAAACAGUAAUGGAUAAUAUUCGCUUGAAGACAAAACUGAUCAAUCUGAUGAGGCUGCCGGGUAAGAAGGCGGCAAACAAGCAAAAGAAAAAAGUACCGGUAUUCACCAGGCGCAGUCUAUCCGUACCGGAACUGAAUGUCAAGGAGGUCGAAGCGCUUCCUCCAAUCAGCGCCUUGGCCAGAACAUCCGAGGCCAUAUUUUUUGGAUUGAGCGAUAGCGAUUCCGUCGCGAGCGGCUCCAUCCCUGACGGCCCGACUGUCACGGACGGCGGCUCUAUUAGAACUGCUUCCUCGUUCCAUCUCAGUGAGGAAUUUAAUAACGCGAUGUCAAACACGGAGAAGAAAGCAUACACAAAAGGACCCUUGUUCACCUUUGAUCCCGUUCCGACCCCGCGAUCCGUCUUCCCCAAAUCGUCAUUCAGCUCACCAGCGCUGAAUCCCGCAAUGACCUCUGAACAUUCCCGGCUCUACGAGGACAAUCCGACGGACAAAGCGACAAUCUCAGAAGUUCUGGCCAGAGCGAACUCAACGGGAGAACAAACAAACAUCAACGCACAGCCGAGGUUUGUGCAUUUCAAGCGGGACAGGCCGCUUUCUGGAAAAUUCCAACUGUCGGCACGCAGAGACAAGACGCCCCUGCCGUCGGAGUCUCUCGCUAAACCUGCCGACGGCGUGGAAAGCGUCAGCGAGUGUUGGACCGGCGAAGACCAGGCAGCCAUGCGGUGGUUGACGGACACGGAGGGACUGGAUCCCGAUGAGUUCUCCGCCAUCGCUAAUGACUACAGCAUUGAGGAAUCUUCACUGGAAGGAGCCACUCAGGAGGACAUUGAGAUGUCCAGUGAACCAUUUGAAUUCUUUGAGGACCCACUCGAAACCCCACUUUCGCCAUCAACUUCGGACUCCCAACUCCCGGCCCCCCUCCAGAGGUACCUGCUCUGCAUCAGCUUGAAACAUGGACAAAACCUGGUCAUUAGAGACAAACGCGGUACGAGCGACCCGUACGUGAAGUUCAAACUGGAAGGAAAGCAGUUCUACAAGAGCAAAGUGGUUUAUAAAAACUUGAAUCCCAAGUGGAACGAGUUCUUCUCCUAUCCCCUGCGGGACAAAGAACACGUCGUGGAUGUCCGGGUCUAUGAUAAAAACCUGACGAGCGAUGACUUCAUGGGUUCGAGCAGCAUUUCGCUGAAGAAUCUCGAACUUUACAAGACUUAUGAACUGGAGUUGCCCCUCACCGAUCCCAAAAGCAAAGAAGACGACAUGGGAAUCAUCUCGGUGGACGUGUGCCUCAUGUUUCGUGACGCCACCAUCAAACGGAACUGGAGAUGGCCAGCCAAAAAGACAAAGAAAGCUACGCAGCACCCGAGCUCGGCCGACAUGCAGAAGAGUCAGCCCAAGAGCCGCAUGUGGACGGGGGCUCUGGCCAUCACGCUCGUGGAGGGUCAGGAUCUACCGCAACACGGCCAAGGCGACAUCUAUGUCCGCUUUCGACUGGGCGACCAGAAGUACAAGAGCAAGAACCUCUGCAUUCAAGCCAAUCCCCAGUGGAGAGAGCGCUUUGACUUCAAUCAGUUUGCAGAUAACCAGGCACCUCUGCAGGUGGAGGUGCACUUAAAGAGAGGCAGGAAGGGCGAGGAAUCGUGGGGAAUGUUCGAGGUUGACCUGUCCAACCUGGUGUUUAACGAGAGGCAGCUCUACACGCAAAUGCUGGAUCCGGGAAAGGGCAGGCUGGUGUUUCUGGUCACCCUGCUGCCUUGCUGGGGCGUCUCCAUCUCCGACAUUGAGACGGCUCCUUUGGAGAAGCCUGACGAGAGAGACGCCGUGGUGGAGAAAUUUAGCCUCCGCAACUCGUAUAAAUGCAAGGGCGAAAUUGGUUUCCUCCAAGUCAAGGUUUUAAAAGCCAACGAUCUCCCCGCUACAGACAUCAAUGGGAAAAGCAACCCCUUCUGUGUGAUGGCACUGGGAAAUAGCAAACUUCAAACCCACACCAUCUACAAAAGCCUCAAUCCGGAGUGGAACACAGCAAUCACAUUCCCGGUUAAGGACAUUCAUGAUGUGGUGGAGCUGACCAUCCUGGAUGAAAACGGAGACAAAGCACCGGGCUUUUUGGGCAAAGUUGCCAUUCCGUUACUGACUGUGCAAAAUGAGCAGCAGAUUUGUCUCUACUUGAAGAAAGAGGACUUGAGUGGCCCGGCCAAAGGAACCAUCACGCUUGUGUUCGAGGUUAUUUACAAUAAAGUUCGAGCUGGUAUUAAAAGUUUCCAACCAAAGGAAGAAAAGUUUACAGAGGAAAGCGUAAAGUUCUCGAAAAAGGUUCUCGCCCACAAUAUCUAUCGAGUUCGCAAAAUCAGCACAGCAGUUCUGUACACGUUACAGUACAUCAAGAGCUGUUUUCAGUGGGAGAACACGCAACGGAGCCUCAUAGCCUUCCUGAUCUUCCUGGUGACAGUUUGGCACUGGGAGCUCUUCAUGUUUCCCCUCUUCCUGCUCCUGCUCUUCAUUUGGAACUACUUUCAGCUCCGUGGCAGAAGCGUCACCUCCAACCAGGACCUGGUGAACAUGAGCACGUGUGAGGACGAAGAGGACGACGAGAAGGAACCUGAAAGAAAGUGUUUCAUGGACAAGAUACACAUGGUGCAGGAAAUUGUGUUGACAGUCCAGAACAUUUUGGAAGAGCUUGCAACCAUCGGGGAACGGAUAAAGAACCUGUUCAACUGGUCUGUUCCCUUCAUGUCGUGUCUGGCCUGCCUGGUCCUCUUUGUAGCCACAUCGCUAUUAUAUUUAAUUCCACUGCGCUACAUGGUGCUCAUAUGGGGCGUUCACAAAUUCACCAAGAAGCUGCGCAACCCGUAUGCAAUCGACAAUAAUGAGCUGCUGGAUUUCCUCAAGAGAAUGCCGUGUGAUGUUCAGAAGGUGCGCCACAGCGCACUGAGCGCGCCCACCGGCCGCAACCUGCCACGCAAGAAGAAGUAAGAGAGCAGCGGUCCGACCCAGUCCGCCUGACAAACAACGCACCGGUGCCACCCCAGCUCCACUGUAGCGCCCCGACUCGGCACCCUUCGCCCCCCCACGGCGCCCUCCGACUUGUGUUUGCCUCCCCGGCUGACAGCAGGAGGAGGAAGAGGAGGAGGGCAGCUCACGGCCCCGUCAAUCAUCAGCCGGGAGCGAUUUGCAAGCGCUGUACUGCCGGAGAAGUUGAGCUUAAUUUGCCCGAAAAAAAAAAUUGGGCAGAAGGUUCACCUAAUCUGUGUAUUCACCUGUUGACAUAUAGAGGAAUUUGAAUAGGUCUAGUGUCAGCAGAGAAAGAAGAUGCUAAAGUGGAUCCAAAGAGAUGAAACAUUGGCCAGAAUUUACAUUUCAACAGAACCAAGAUGUCUCCCGAUUCCCUGUAAACUUGGGUCACAAAAAGGUUGCAUGACCCUAAAGCACAAAGACAGAACUGAACCUCAACAAGACUCUCAAAUAGUCUGCUCGGCAACAGGUGACAACAACAUUGUCAAUCAAAAAGAAAGGGGAAACACAUUCAUAUCGCCACAGGCGGAAGAAGCAGACACCAAAUGUUUGAAAAUGAUCUGAAAAGUGGAGUGGUUUUUUUUUUUGGGCUAACCCAGAUUUUGCCAUACGCGGGAAGUUGAAGCACUGUCCACGCCCACCGCGCGUCAGACGGACGACAUCACAGCAAUUUGUGUGUUCUAACUAGCAGCGCCUCGCAGCACUCCCCCAUGUUCUGGUCCAUCUGCCUCCUGUCCAUUGAUCAGCCUUCCAGGGGGCAUCAGUCUGUUUAACAUCUGCUACGAGUUGCCGAGGCUCAGACGUUCGGGGAGUCUGUAAUGAAGAGCUCUUGAACUGCCGGGCGGAGACGCGCUGAGAUGAGAGUCCAGCAGGACGCCCCUUUUGGCUCUGCGGGACGGGCGGUUUUUGUGCGGCAGCAUUUUCUCAAGAACUCGUAGCCCCGAUGAAGGGAGGCCGCGAGUCGGAGGUGACCCGCUCCCGAGUGGCGCCCGGUGGCGAGGCCGCGAGCCUUGAUUGGUCCUCGCCAGGGAAGGGAGGGACCUCCGCUGCGGGUGAAAUGUAGCCCGUGACCCCCUGACCCUCGGGGUCCGGCAUUUGUCUCCAGUGCAGUGACCACAAACAACCCCUGGUUUUGCUGUAAAUGUCAGCGCGGCGCCGUUCCCGCCCUCUCGCCUGUGAAGCACAAUGCUGCGCUCAAGCUGCACUAAUAGGACACUUUGAUGGCAGCGCCAUCAUCGCUUGUCCUGUUUGUUUGAUUGAUCUACUCACUCUCUCACCCUUCCUCUCUGUCUCUCUAUCUGGGCACCAUGUCCAAGUGACAGUAUUACCUCAAAAGCUGUUAAUUAUAUAUAUGUGUGUGUACAUACAUAUAUAUAUAUAUAUAUAUACAUACAUACAUAUAUAUAUUUUUUUUUUUCCUAUCGUUAAAUUACCUCGUUUAAUGUAGACAAUUUUCUUAAUGUAGACCUCUCAAAAAUAAUUCACAAUUGAUUAUUUUUAAGCCAAAAUUAUAGUUAUUUGAUGUUAGACUUUCUAAAUAGUUUUAAAUGUGGGUUUUUUUUAUUUCAGGGGUCAGGAUGAAAUUGUAAUUGCAGCAUCAUCAUGGGUUUGGUUUCUGACCAAAAUAACCACAGACUUUGGUUUAAAUAAAAAAAAAUUAAUUGAAGUGUACACCAAAAAACAGACAAAACGCAUCUGCUAAUUAUUUUUAU